rnacentral:lncRNA from 1 species
GAGCAGCUGCAGCUCUGUCUACACCGAAGAUGUGGCUGCUGGGUGUUGGGAGGGCACAGCGGGGACCUCCGAGGAGGAAGAGGAUGAUGGCAGCAGGCAGGAUGUGUCCCCAGGGUUGAUGAGGAGGGGGAGCCUGGAGUCGCUUGGAGCCAGGAUAUCCAGGCUGAGCCAGAGUGGGGCUGAGACCCCCUGCCCAGCCCCCUCUGAGCACCCAGCACAGGGCAGGGGGGAUGCAUCCCAUUGGGCACCACGCUCCAAGGCAAAGCCCUCAGUCACUGCUUUGCAUGGUGGGGAUGGGGACACUGGACAUCUCUGGACACCCUCAGGCAGCUCAGUCAGCAGGAGCAGGACCAGGGCCAUAGGACAUAGUGGAUGGCAGGAGCCACCAGCACAACGGGGGUGGCAUGGAGGGGAUGUCACCCUCACUGCGGAGAAGGAAGGAGAUGGCAACGAGCGGAGGAGGGCUCUUUGUGAGUGUGCUGCUGGCCUCAGGGUGCUGGGGCUGAAGCAGGGGACCAGGAGGGGUCCCAGGGGCUUGGUGGGGACAGGGACCCUCCUGGGGCUGGGUGAUGGUGGGGCCAACCCAACUCGUUGGUGGGUUUGUUGUGUCCCCAACCACCUCCAUGUUCCUGCAGGCACCAAAGCAGCAGCAGUGGGACCUGCUGGGAAAUGCAGCCCCCAGGCAGAGGGGCAGCACAGUGUGUCCUGCCCAGGGCAUGUGGCUGAGCCCCAGUGGCAGCGCUGGAAGCAGAAGGCCAUCCUGUCCCACAGGCUGGCAGCACUGAGCCGAGCCCUGCAGAGCAGCCAGGAGGGGAUGUGGGAGCCAAGAGCUGGAGCUCAGGGCAUGCAGAGCAAUGGGGAUGGGGCCAGGGCGUGUGCAUGGGAUUGCGUGGAGAAGGUGGGGUGGAAGGGCUGCGCUGAAUGCUGUGAGAAGAUGAGGAGGAAAACGCUGGAUCUCAGGGAAGAGAAGCAGGAGCUGAAGGAGAGGCUCUGUGGGCUGGAGCUCCAGAUGUGCUCCGUGCUGCGGCAGAGACAGGAGGCAUUAGGGCAACUGCGGGCAGUGCUGCAGAAGGAGAGGAUGGCCACGCUCCAUCAGCUGCAGGAGAGCAUGGAGAAGGGGUUCCUGAUGCCACCUCUUGACGUUCCUCCGAGCCCCAACAGGAUCAAGCUCACUGCUGCAACCAGGACUUGA